AAUAAACUAGAUGCCCACUGUGGGUUUAAAUAAAAAAGAAGAAAAAGAAGGCCACAAAAACGAGGUAAGAAGCUACAGUUUUGACCAGAGGUGCUCAUAGUGUAGAUUGUGAUCAAACGGUCGAUGGCAAAGGAUGCUUUGCCAGAACAGCAAAAAUAAGAGCGUUUGAGGCCCGGGUGCCUCCUUGAUUGGAUGCGAGACUGAGACAACUGAACCAACCAUCCUGCAACAGCGCCUGCCGCCUGGUCAGCGGUUCCUGAGGGGUCCAAGCCGCCUCAGGCAGCAGUGUUGUCCAGAAGCCUGCGCAUUUUGAGCCCUGCCCAUGGAGCAGGGGGCUGCGUAGGGUGCGCUUUGUCGCCGCGCCACUCCCCCACCAGAACAGCCACCCAUUAGAAAGCCUGAGCAGGCGGCAGGGACUUCACAUCACCCGCCUUUCUGUAUGCUCUAGCUCCUGUGAAUACUUGGUUGAUCAUGCUAAUUCUUGUCUCAAAGAUUAUCCAAAAAAAAAAAAAAACUAUCACCAAAUGUGGAGUUUUUCAUCCUUGCUGAAGAUGAGGGAAUGGACCAAGACUCCUAACCGACUUUCCCAAGGAGUGCCCAGCCCGUUCCUGUUCCAGUGGUGGUCCUGGAUGCUCCCCAGCACGUACGUGCCGGACGCACCCCAACCCGCUCCUGCUUCCAGGGGGGUGCCGGAGCUCGACGACUGGCCCGACCCGCCGGAGCUCGCCUUCACCGCCUACUAUUAACCUUUGCAAAGUUUUAUGACAGCAGUGUGAAGAAGCUGUUUUUGGAUCUGUAGCAGUGCAAACAUUUUUUCAACAUCAAUUCUUUGUGUUUAAUUUUGUGUGAACAUUGUUAUGCAGAGUAAAACAUUUUAAAAAUGUGUUUAUGGUUUGCAAUGAUAAACUGUUUAAUUACAUUUUACAUGUGUUUUUACAUCACUAUUGAAUUUUAGAUUUGCACGAUUAUCAAAUAAAGGGGAGUUUAACCAGUGAA